AGCUGGAAUGACAUGCUCUGUAUUCUCUUUCAGCGAGGGGUGAGAGGAAGGGCAACGGGGCGAACGACGACGGGAACCUGGAGAGAGAGAUUAGCUGAACAGCUGGGAUCGUGCAGAAAGAAGAAGGUCAUAUGGGUUUGGAACAUAAACAAAGAAGAAGACCAUACAGGUUUGGAACAUAAAAAAAGGAGAAGGUCAUUUGGGUUUGGAACAAAAUUAAAUUAGUAUGGCGGCAGUCAAGCGUCUUCCCCAGUCAAACUGAGAAAGUGUUCAAAGGCGCUGAAACUGUAUCCUCCACUCCAGAUCUCGUUCCCCGCGGCGGGAAUCACAACCUGCUCCGUUUCAGAAGACCUGGCAGCGCUUCUCAUAACACACACACAUGCAGACAAAUGUGGGCCCUGCAUUGUUGAGUGCAGCUGUGUUUACGGCUCUCAGCUUGAUAUCCAGUCCUAGAACGAGCAGGUGUUUGAGACGAAACACGGAGGAGAAAUGAGUAUCCAGGAACACAGGUAAUGGCACGAAGCCCCUGGCCCGGGGAAACUGAACCUGCCCGUGCAGGGACGCGUCCGGAACGGGGCCACGCUUCAUUUGGGCUCUGUGAGCAGCUGUCAAUCUCUGGUUACAGGAUAUUAUUAAAGCCAGCAGAGAUCCUCCUACUUCCCAUCUUUCUACACAACCACAUUGUGGAUGUUCGCCGGAUCCUCCUCUUUCCACCUAAAAGCUGCUGUCGGUGCGGUUGGAAGUCAUAAUUUAAGAUUUGCUGGUCUGCUUUACUUUAAAACCUUGUAAUUUACCUCAAGUAUUUUUUUUUCACUGCAUAAACAAUCUUAAUCGUUUCUUAAUUUUGUCCUGUUUUCCACUAAAAUUGUGUAAACAUCCUUUUUGCGGAAUUUAAGUGUAAUUUAGGAUUGAUGGAUGACACGUGCAUCACAUAAUUAAAUCCAACAGGAACGUUUGGAUGUCAUGCAACCGCAGCUGAAAACAAAACAAAAACAAAAAAAAACAAAUUAUUUUCCCAUUAAAAUAAUGUAAAUAUACCUUUAAAAAUUAAUUAUAAAUUAAAAAAGCUAAACUGUGCACAAUAAAACUUAAAUAACACAUAUUUGUCAUAGAUGUAUACUUAAAACAAGAAAAACAAUAUACAACAAGUGUAAUUAAAAUAAAUGUUAAUAACAUUUAAGAUCAUUUUGAUUAAAUGUAUAUUGUUUUAACUAAAAAACAAGACUUUUUUCAUUUUUCAAGCAUCAUUUAGGUUCAAUUUGACAUGUUCAUGACGUAAUUAAAUCUGAAAGUGAUUGACAGGAACGUUUUGAUGUCAUGCAACUG